rnacentral:rRNA from 1 species
CCUACGGGAGGCUGCAGUGGGGAAUAUUGCACAAUGGGGGAAACCCUGAUGCAGCGACGCCGCGUGAGUGAAGAAGUAAUUCGUUAUGUAAAGCUCUAUCAGCAGGGAAGAAAAUGACGGUACCUGAGUACGAAGCCCCGGCUAACUACGUGCCAGCAGCCGCGGUAAUACGUAGGGGGCAAGCGUUAUCCGGAUUUACUGGGUGUAAAGGGAGCGUAGACGGCAGUGCAAGUCUGGAGUGAAAGGCGGGGGCUCAACCCCCGGACUGCUCUGGAAACUGUACGGCUGGAGUGCAGGAGAGGUAAGUGGAAUUCCUAGUGUAGCGGUGGAAUGCGUAGAUAUUAGGAGGAACACCAGUGGCGAAGGCGGCUUACUGGACUGUAACUGACGUUGAGGCUCGAAAGCGUGGGGAGCAAACAGGAUUAGAUACCCUUGUAGUC